rnacentral:rRNA from 1 species
GAUGAACGCUGGCGGCGUGCCUAAUACAUGCAAGUCGAGCGGUAACACUUCGGGUGACGAGCGGCGGACGGCAGAGUAACGCGUAGGAACGUACCCCGAAGUGAGGGAUAAGCACCGGAAACGGUGUCUAAUACCGCAUGUGAUCUUCGGAUUAAAGCUUCGGCGCUUUGGGAACGGCCUGCGUAUGAUUAGCUUGUUGGUAAGGUAAAAGCUUACCAAGGCGACGAUCAUUAGCUGGUCUGAGAGGAUGAUCAGCCUGACUGGGACUGAGACACGGCCCAGACUCCUACGGGAGGCAGCAGUAGGGAAUUUUCCACAAUGGGGGCAACCCUGAUGGAGCAACGCCGCGUGCAGGAUGAAGGCCUUAGGGUUGUAAACUGCUUUUCUCUGUGACGAUUAUGACGGUAGCAGAGGAAUAAGGACCGGCUAACUACGUGCCAGCCGCCGCUGUAA